GCUCGUGCAUGCGCAGCGCGGGGAGACCUUGGCGAGGCGGCGGAGGCGCUUAGUGGAGGUGAAAGCUUUUGGCGGAAAGGAAAGUCUAGCGGCAAGAUGCAGAGCUGGAGUCGUGUGUACUGUUCUUUGGCUAAGAGAGGCCAUUUCAAUCGAAUAUCUCAUGGUCUGCAAGGAGUUUCUGCAGUGCCACUGAGAACUUAUGCAGAUCAACCAAUUGAUGCUGAUGUAACAGUGAUAGGUUCUGGUCCUGGAGGAUAUGUUGCUGCUAUUAAAGCUGCCCAGUUAGGCUUCAAGGCCGUCUGCGUUGAGAAAAAUGAGACACUCGGUGGAACAUGCUUGAACGUUGGUUGUAUUCCUUCUAAGGCUUUAUUGAAUAACUCUCAUUAUUACCAUAUGGCCCACGGAAAAGAUUUUGCAUCUAGAGGAAUUGAAAUGUCUGAAGUUCGCUUGAAUUUAGAGAAGAUGAUGGAGCAGAAGAGUAAUGCAGUAAAAGCUUUAACGGGUGGAAUUGCCCACUUAUUCAAACAGAAUAAGGUUGCUCAUGUAAAUGGAUAUGGAAAGAUAACUGGGAAAAAUCAGGUCACCGCUACGAAAGCCGAUGGCAGCACUCAAGUUAUUGAUACAAAGAACAUUCUUAUAGCCACAGGUUCAGAAGUCACUCCUUUUCCUGGAAUUACGAUUGAUGAAGAUACAGUAGUGUCAUCUACAGGUGCUUUGUCUUUAAAAAAAGUUCCAGAAAAGAUGGUUGUCAUUGGUGCAGGAGUAAUAGGUGUAGAAUUGUUUUUUUAUUAUGUGCAGGGCUCAGUUUGGCAAAGACUUGGUGCAGACGUGACAGCAGUUGAGUUUUUGGGUCAUGUUGGUGGAAUUGGAAUUGAUAUGGAGAUAUCUAAAAACUUUCAGCGCAUCCUUCAAAAACAAGGAUUUAAAUUUAAAUUGAAUACCAAAGUUACUGGUGCUACUAGGAAGCCAGAUGGAAAAAUUGAUGUUUCUAUUGAAGCUGCUUCUGGUGGUAAAGCUGAAGUUAUCACUUGUGAUGUACUCCUGGUUUGCAUUGGCCGACGACCCUUUACUAAGAAUUUGGGACUAGAGGAGCUUGGAAUUGAGCUGGAUCCUAGAGGUAGAAUUCCAGUAAAUACCAGAUUCCAAACUAAAAUUCCAAAUAUCUAUGCAAUCGGCGAUGUGGUUGCUGGUCCAAUGCUGGCUCACAAAGCAGAGGAUGAAGGCAUUAUCUGUGUUGAAGGGAUGGCUGGUGGCGCUGUGCACAUUGACUACAAUUGUGUACCAUCGGUGAUUUACACACACCCUGAAGUUGCUUGGGUUGGCAAAUCAGAAGAGCAGUUGAAAGAAGAGGGUACUGAGUACAAAGUUGGGAAAUUCCCAUUUGCUGCUAACAGCAGAGCUAAGACAAACGCUGACACAGAUGGCAUGGUGAAGAUACUUGGGCAGAAAUCAACAGACAGAGUAUUGGGAGCACAUAUUCUAGGACCAGGUGCUGGUGAAAUGAUAAAUGAAGCUGCUCUUGCACUGGAAUAUGGAGCAUCCUGUGAAGAUAUAGCUAGAGUCUGUCAUGCACAUCCGACCUUAUCAGAAGCUUUUAGAGAAGCAAACCUGGCUGCAUCAUUUGGGAAAUCGAUCAACUUUUAAAUUAGAAGAUUAUAUUUUUCUGCAAUUUCCUGGGAGCUUUUGUAGAGGUAACAUUUCUGAACAGGAAAUGCUCACAGCUCCAAGAAUUUCUAGGACUGAAUUAUGAAACUUUUGGAAGGAUUUACUUACAUGGAUGGAGCUGGAGUAUGGUAUGUGAACAGCUGUGUUUGAAACAAGGUGAUCAAGUUAUUUUAAACUUGGUUUUCACAUUGGAAACAGUCAUUAGAAUAAGUUAAACAUGUAUAAACUGAACUGAUGUAAAUAAAAAAUGAUGGUCUAUCAGGUAUUUUAAUCCCCAAAGUCUUGGCCGUUAGAGGUAGAAUUUGUGUUUAGAUUUUUAAGGUUCUAGUGAGGUCUGCAGUCUGAAGUAUAGUUAUAUAGUUGACCAAAGUAAGGCAGUAUAUAUACGAAAUUCAUAUAUUAAGUGGAGAAGCAAUGUAUUCCAGUGGGAAAUUAAGAUAUGGAAAUAAACAUGUCUUAAAUAUUCAUAGUGGUUAUUCUGAGUGGAUGUCAAGAUGGUCCUAGAUUUUUUAUGACUACCUCUACCGUACAUUCUUGUUUAUUACUCUUUAUUAUUGCUUUUAUAGGCCUGGAUAGAUCUUUUUUUCCCACACUGUAGGACAGUAUUAAGGUAUUUAAAAGGUCAUUAUCCUUUUAUCUGUUCUAGUGAUACCUACUAAAUGUUUAGCAUUUAUUUUUAGAGAAACAACAUAAGGGAAUCUUUAAUCUCUUGUCUUUUCUGAAGUGGAUUGCCAGUGUAUCCUGGCAGGGUAAAAUCGACUAUUUCUUUAAAGAGUGCUAUAAAAUUAUAUUUAUUGAUAAAUAUUUAAAAUGGCUGUUUCUUAAAACACUUAAAUAACAAAGUGUUGAAUACUAAAUAGACUUUAUUAUAACUAAAUUUAAGAAUCAUUUCAGAUUCAUUCAUCAUAUUUGAUAUAGCAUAAAUUUCUAAAGAAAGUAAAUGAAGGAACUGAAAUAUGCAAACCAGAUAUUCACUUGAUUGCAAUUUAAAGGUUAUAUAUCGUCUUAAGGAAAGUUUGGAGAAUGUAAUUUAUGAGCAGAAAGCUGUAUGGAAUAAGAAAUCAUCAGUUGAUCCAUAGAUAAAAGGAAAAUGUUUUGUAGCCUUCAGGUUUUUAUUGAUUUACAUGUAGGUCACAUUUUCCUUUUACUUCACACGUCCAGUGCUCUUGAAUUGUAUUAUGGUCAUUAUAAAUGGAUACAUUGUAAAGAC